ACCUGGUUGAUUCUGCCAGUAGCAUACGCUUGUCUCAAAGAUUAAGCCAUGCAUGUCUAAGUAUAAACAAAUCUAUACGUGAAACUGCGAAUGGCUCAUUAUAUCAGUUAUAGUUUAUUUGAUGGUUCUUGCUACUUGGAUAACCGUAGUAAUUCUAGAGCUAAUACAUGC
rnacentral:rRNA from 1 species